GUAAGGAAUAUUGGUCAAUGGACGCAAGUCUGAACCAGCCAUGCCGCGUGGAGGAUGAAGGUCCUCUGGAUUGUAAACUUCUUUUAUCUGGGACGAAAAAAGGGAAUUCUUUCUCGUCUGACGGUACCAGAUGAAUAAGCACCGGCUAACUCCGUGCCAGCAGCCGCGGUAAUACGGAGGGUGCAAGCGUUAUCCGGAUUCACUGGGUUUAAAGGGUGCGUAGGCGGGUAUGUAAGUCCGUGGUGAAAUCUCCGAGCUUAACUCGGAAACUGCCAUGGGUACUGCGUAUCAUGAAUGUUGUGGAGGUGAGCGGAAUAUGUCAUGUAGCGGUGAAAUGCUUAGAUAUGACAUAGAACACCAAUUGCGAAGGCAGCUCACUACACAAAUAUUGACGCUGAGGCACGAAAGCGUGGGGAUCAAACAGGAUUAGAAACCCUUGUAGUCC
rnacentral:rRNA from 1 species